AUUGAACGCUGGCGGCAGGCCUAACACAUGCAAGUCGAGCGAGCGGCGGACGGGUGAGUAAUGUAUGGGGAUCUGCCCGAUAGGGGGGGAUAACUACUAGAAACGGUCGCUAAUACCGCAUACUAUCGUAAGAACCCAUAUGGGAUUAGCUAGUAGGUGGGGUAAAGGCUCACAUAGGCGACGAUCUCUAGCUGGUCUGAGAGGAUGAACAGCCACACUGGGACUGAGACACGGCCCAGACGCCUACGGGAGGCAGCAGUGGGGAAUAUUGCACAAUGGGCGCAAGCCUGAUGCAGCCAUGCCGCGUGUAUGAAGAAGGCCCUAGGGUUGUAAAGUACUUUCAGCGGGGAGGCGUUACCCGCAGAAGAAGCACCGGCUAACUCCGUGCCAGCAGCCGCGGUAAUAC
rnacentral:rRNA from 1 species